AAGACUAUACUUUCAGGGAUCAUUUCUAUAGUAUCUGACUAGGAAUUGUGAUUUGAAAGUGUUACGUCUCCCUAAUCACGAUGAAGAGCUUUGAUGUAUUCUUCUGAGCGUGAAUCGGAUUUAAGCUACUGUGAUUAUUCACAGGCUUGAGUCAUUGAUGAACGUUCUCUGAUUCUUUUGGAUCGUGAGAGGAAGAGUACAUGAUCAGAGUGAU